rnacentral:rRNA from 1 species
AACGAACGCUGGCGGCAUGCCUAACACAUGCAAGUCGAACGAGGCCCUUCGGGGUUUAGUGGCGCACGGGUGCGUAACGCGUGGGAAUCUGCCCUUUGGUUCGGAAUAACAGCUGGAAACGGCUGCUAAUACCGGAUGAAAAAGAAAGUCCAAAGAUUUAUCGCCAGAGGAUGAGCCCGCGUUGGAUUAGGUAGUUGGUGGGGUAAAGGCCUACCAAGCCGACGAUCCAUAGCUGGUCUGAGAGGAUGAUCAGCCACACUGGGACUGAGACACGGCCCAGACUGGUACGGGAGGCAGCAGUGGGGAAUAUUGGACAAUGGGCGCAAGCCUGAUCCAGCAAUGCCGCGUGAGUGAUGAAGGCCCUAGGGUUGUAAAGCUCUUUUACCCGGGAAGAUAAUGACUGUACCGGGAGAAUAAGCCCCGGCUAACUCCGUGCCA